AAAGCACACACGCUAGUUCGUUUAGACUUCAUAUGUUAACUGAGACAUUAGAUUGUAUUUAUUAUUUAAAGAUUUCUUGCAAUAGUUUAAGUAUGUAUAGCUUUUAUAUUUGUAAGGUUCAUCGCUUGUGGCACUUUGUUAGCGCGCCCGCCUCCCAUGCUGGAGACCCGUAUAAAAUAAUUGUAAAAUAUAUAAAAUAUUAGUACCACUGACAUCAGUACUAUUACAAGUUGCAGGUUAGCUUAUCUGGUAGAGCGUCUGCCUCCCAUGCUGGAGACCCGGUCGGAGUUGUAUUUUUUGUAGUUAGUCUGCUUGCUGUCCGUAUAGAUAGUUAGGAUCAGCAAGCAUGAAUACGGUUACAUCAUAGCUGCUGUUCGCAGGGCAGACAAACAUAAGUUAACGCAAUUAGUUAACAUGUCUUAUGUCAAGUAAAGUUAUUUUUUUUUAUAUUUUUGGUAUAUUCUAACUACAAGUAGAGUCACAAGAUUAUAGGGCUUUAUUUGCUAUACAAAGUCAUAGCAGUAAGUAUAAACAAAGCAGCCUAAACACUGUACACUGAAAAAAGUUAAACUGCUGUGUCAUUCAUCUAAAGUAUGUUUCUUCAUUAGUUUGAUAGAAAAUUUAGAUUUCUUAUCUGAAACUGAUAUUUUUACUUUGCUUAAAAGGAAACACCGCCUUCCUUGGUUAAAAUUAAGUGUAAUCUGUUUCCUCAAAGCCGAUUUCUACUUUAAACUAAAGGGUCGCCUUAUCACGUGACCUCAGGACGUCGCACCAGAUCAGUCUGAACCAGAAUCUGCUGUCCGCCAUUACAGUUGUCUGUCGCUUGGAAAGAGAAUUUUGUGUACUGAAAAAGAAAAGUCUUUUACACACGAUUUGUGAGCGUCUUCUCAAAAGGCCACUGUUUUACCCAUACUACAGAAUUUGUCUUCUCAUGAAUGUGGAAGUGCAAAGACUGUGGUACCUCGGUUUUGCGAAGAUCUGAGCUUAUCAAACAUUAUAAGCUUGAACAUAGACACUAUGGACAUCACCAUUCUUAUCCAUGUGUCUAUUUGAACUGUCCAUGCACUUGCAAGACUUGGAAUGGUCUUCUGACUCAUGUUUCAAAAUGUCAUCACAGACAGAAUGAACUGACCACAUAUAAAUGCCUCUUGUGCAAUUACAAUCAACUUUCCACUCUCAAAAAAUAUUUGAAAACAUAGGACAGCAUCUCAAAAACAACGAGACUGUUGAUUGUGUGUUUUAAGGGUGUUCAUAUAAAACCAACAUUUAUGGUUCAUUUCAGACUCAUAGAAGUAGGAAAAAUAAGGGUUUUCAGGUAAGCAAUUUAAAGCCUGGAAUACUUGAGAAACAGGGGUCAAGCUUAGCUCUUCCCACUGAAAAUCGUUAUUCUGACAGUAUCCAGAUUGAGAGUAUUGGUAAUGACCCAUUAGAUGAU